CAGCCGCCGCGGGAAUACGUAGGGUGCAAGCGUUAAUCGGAAUUACUGGGCGUAAAGCGUGCGCAGGCGGUCCGCUAAGACAGAUGUGAAAUCCCCGGGCUUAACCUGGGAACUGCAUUUGUGACUGGCGGGCUAGAGUAUGGCAGAGGGGGGUAGAAUUCCACGUGUAGCAGUGAAAUGCGUAGAGAUGUGGAGGAAUACCGGUGGCGAAGGCGGCCCCCUGGACAAAGACUGACGCUCAGGUGCGAAAGCGUGGGGAGCAAACAGGAUUAGAGACCCCUGUAGUCCCUGUCUCUUAUAC
rnacentral:rRNA from 1 species